rnacentral:misc_RNA from 1 species
GGGGGUGUUCAUAUUGGUGGG